rnacentral:rRNA from 1 species
GGGUUGUGAGGUUAAGCGACUAAGCGUACACGGUGGAUGCCCUGGCAGUCAGAGGCGAUGAAGGACGUGCUAAUCUGCGAUAAGCGCCGGUAAGGUGAUAUGAACCGUUAUAACCGGCGAUUUCCGAAUGGGGAAACCCAGUGUGAUUCGUCACACUAUCAUUAACUGAAUCCAUAGGUUAAUGAGGCGAACCGGGGGAACUGAAACAUCUAAGUACCCCGAGGAAAAGAAAUCAACCGAGAUUCCCCCAGUAGCGGCGAGCGAACGGGGAGGAGCCCAGAGCCUGAAUCAGCAUGUGUGUUAGUGGAAGCGUCUGGAAAGGCGCGCGAUACAGGGUGACAGCCCCGUACACAAAAGCGCAUGUGCUGUGAGCUCGAUGAGUAGGGCGGGACACGUGGUAUCCUGUCUGAAUAUGGGGGGACCAUCCUCCAAGGCUAAAUACUCCUGACUGACCGAUAGUGAACCAGUACCGUGAGGGAAAGGCGAAAAGAACCCCGGCGAGGGGAGUGAAAAAGAACCUGAAACCGUGUACGUACAAGCAGUGGGAGCCC